GACGAACGCUGGCGGCGUGCUUAACACAUGCAAGUCGAACGGAAAGGCCCUGCUUUUGUGGGGUGCUCGAGUGGCGAACGGGUGAGUAGCACGUGAGUAACCUGCCCUUGACUUUGGGAUAACUUCAGGAAACUGGGGCUAAUACCGGAUAGGAGCUCCUGCUGCAUGGUGGGGGUUGGAAAGUUUCGGCGGUUGGGGAUGGACUCGCGGCUUAUCAGCUUGUUGGUGGGGUAGUGGCUUACCAAGGCUUUGACGGGUAGCCGGCCUGAGAGGGUGACCGGCCACAUUGGGACUGAGAUACGGCCCAGACUCCUACGGGAGGCAGCAGUGGGGAAUAUUGCACAAUGGGCGGAAGCCUGAUGCAGCAACGCCGCGUGCGGGAUGACGGCCUUCGGGUUGUAAACCGCUUUCGCCUGUGCCGAAGCGUGAGUGACGGUAAUGGGUAAAGAAGCACCGGCUAACUACGUG
rnacentral:rRNA from 1 species